rnacentral:lncRNA from 1 species
AGUGCAAAUACAGCCACAUAGAGCCCCCGCUGGGUAGACAACGCUUCUUCUCCACUCAGUAUCAGAAGGAGUUUCCCUUCAAGUACCAGGGCCCAUUGGUACAGAAGCCAAGUACCAUGUUUGAGAGCCACUUGCCACUGGGCACAGCCAGACACUUUGGCUGCUGGCAUGAGAAAGUGGACCUUCGAGGCCCCCAGAUCCCUAUGUACCCUUGCCGGAGCCAGGAAUAAAUAUCAUUUGAUUGUCAAA